rnacentral:rRNA from 1 species
AGUUUGAUUUUGAGAUUAGGACGAACGCUGGCGGCGUGCUUAACACAUGCAAGUCGAACGGGGUGUUUAUUUCGGUAAACACCAAGUGGCGAACGGGUGAGUAACGCGUAAGCAAUCUACCUUCAAGAUGGGGACAACACUUCGAAAGGGGUGCUAAUACCGAAUGAAUGUAAGAGUAUCGCAUGAGACACUUACUAAAGGAGGCCUCUGACAUAAGCUUCCGCUUGAAGAUGAGCUUGCGUCUGAUUAGCUAGUUGGUGAGGGUAAAGGCCCACCAAGGCGACGAUCAGUAGCCGGUCUGAGAGGAUGAACGGCCACAUUGGGACUGAGACACGGCCCAGACUCCUACGGGAGGCAGCAGUGGGGAAUCUUCCGCAAUGGGCGAAAGCCUGACGGAGCAACGCCGCGUGAACGAUGAAGGUCUUAGGAUCGUAAAGUUCUGUUGUUAGGGACGAAGGGUAAGAAUCAUAAUAAGGUUUUUAUUUGACGGUACCUAACGAGGAAGCCACGGCUAACUACGUGCCAGCAGCCGCGGUAAUACGUAGGCGGCAAGCGUUGUCCGGAAUUAUUGGGCGUAAAGGGAGCGCAGGCGGGAAACUAAGCGGAUCUUAAAAGUGCGGGGCUCAACCCCGUGAUGGGGUCCGAACUGGUUUUCUUGAGUGCAGGAGAGGAAAGCGGAAUUCCCAGUGUAGCGGUGAAAUGCGUAGAUAUUGGGAAGAACACCAGUGGCGAAGGCGGCUUUCUGGACUGUAACUGACGCUGAGGCUCGAAAGCUAGGGUAGCGAACGGGAUUAGAUACCCCGGUAGUCCUAGCCGUAAACGAUGGAUACUAGGUGUGGGAGGUAUCGACUCCUUCCGUGCCGGAGUUAACGCAAUAAGUAUCCCGCCUGGGGAGUACGGCCGCAAGGUUGAAACUCAAAUGAAUUGACGGAAGGUAGUUG